rnacentral:rRNA from 1 species
AGAAUCAACGCUGGCGGCGUGCCUAACACAUGCAAGUCGCACGAGAAAGGGUAGCAAUACCUGAGUAAAGUGGCGCACGGGUGAGUAACACGUGAAUGAUCUACCUCCGAGUGGGGAAUAAACUGAGAGAAAUCUUAGCUAAUACCACAUAACACUUACGAGUCAAAGCAGCAAUGCGCUUGGAGAGGAGUUCGCGGCCGAUUAGUAGUGGCGGGUAAUGGCCCACAAGCGAUGAUCGGUA